AUGACUUUGAUCUGCAUCCUCAUCUGGACUCUCCUCUGCUGCUGCUUCACAGAGUCCAGAGGUCAGGUCACAGUGACUCAGCCCGCAGCAGUGAGAGCUGAUCUGGGAGGUUCUGCCACCAUCAGCUGUACAAGUAGUCAUGAGUUUUGGGGCUGCAGCAGUGCUUAUUGUUUAGCUUGGUACCAACAAAAAGAUGGAGAAACUCCAAAACCGCUGAUCUACUACACCAAUCAACUCAUGUCAGGGGUUCCAGGUCGCUUUUCAGGCAGUGGAUCUAGGAGUGACUUCACUCUGACCAUCAGUGGAGUUCAGGCUGAAGAUGCUGCAGUUUAUUACUGUCAGGGUGUUAACACAGUCAACAGCCAGACCGUGUUCACACAGUGA